rnacentral:rRNA from 1 species
UUGCACGCUGGCGGCAGGCCUAACACAUGCAAGUCGAGCGGAUGAAGGGAGCUUGCUCCUGGAUUCAGCGGCGGACGGGUGAGUAAUGCCUAGGAAUCUGCCUGGUAGUGGGGGAUAACGUCCGGAAACGGGCGCUAAUACCGCAUACGUCCUGAGGGAGAAAGUGGGGGAUCUUCGGACCUCACGCUAUCAGAUGAGCCUAGGUCGGAUUAGCUAGUUGGUGGGGUAAAGGCCUACCAAGGCGACGAUCCGUAACUGGUCUGAGAAGAUGAUCAGUCACACUGGAACUGAGACACGGUCCAGACUCCUACGGGAGGCAGCAGUGGGGAAUAUUGGACAAUGGGCGAAAGCCUGAUCCAGCCAUGCCGCGUGUGUGAAGAAGGUCUUCGGAUUGUAAAGCACUUUAAGUUGGGAGGAAGGGCAGUAAGUUAAUACCUUGCUGUUUUGACGUUACCAACAGAAUAAGCACCGGCUAACUUCGUG